rnacentral:rRNA from 1 species
UGAGACGUAGGAUCCGAGCGUUGUCCGGAGUUACUGGGCGUAAAGCGCGCGCAGGCGGUUCUAUACAUCGGCGGUGAAAGCCCCCUGCUCAACAGGGGAGGGUCCGUCGAGAUGGUAGAGCUGGAGGCAGGGAGAGGCCAGUGGAAUUCCGGGUGUAGUGGUGAAAUGCGUAGAGAUCCGGAGGAACACCAGUGGCGAAGGCGGCUGGCUGGACCUGACCUGACGCUGAGGCGCGAAGGCGUGGGGAGCGAACGGG